rnacentral:misc_RNA from 1 species
UCUUGGUAUAUUCGUAUUGACUUGAUCAGAUUGGCCGGCCUUUUUGCUGGGAAGAUUCUGAUUCCCACUAUUGGACACCUCAAAAGUUUGCGCCAAAGCCCUUAACUGAAAUUUUUGAAUUUUUCCGGUUGCCGUCUUGGGUAGCUCUGUCAAGAACUCCACCUUCUUUGGAACCAUGAAAUGAGGAAGAUUUUUCCGGCAAUAUGCUAUGAUAUCAGAUUCUUUAACGUCAUCUGUGUUCCCAUUUGCGUUCUUUUUAACGGCCAAAAAAGCGCAGGGACUCUCCCCCCAUAGAGAGUGUGGCAUUGCCACCACAGCUGCUUCCAGGACUCUUGGAUGCCUGUAUAAUACAGAUUCCAAUUCUACGCUGCUGAUAUUUUCACCACCAGAUAUGAUCACAUCCUUGGAUCGGUCCUUAAUUUCCAUGUACCCAUCUGGAUGGAUGACCCCAACAUCCCCUGUAACGAACCAUCCAUUCUUGAAUGCUUUAGAGGUAGCAUUUGGAUCCUUGAAGUAUCCUUUCAUGAUGCUACUUCCUCGCAGGACAAUCUCCCCCAUUGUUUUUCCAUCUCGAGGAACGCUAUUCAUUGUCUUUAGAUCCUUCGCGUCAACAUCAGCAAGAGUUAGAAUACUGAUCCCUUGUCUCGACUUGAGUUUUGCUUGAUCAUCUCGCGAAAGCUGGUUCCACUUAUCUUGCCACUCGCAAACCAAGGCUGGUCCAGUGGCUUCUGUUAGCCCAUAUGCAUGCGUAACGUGGAAUCCUCGUUGUUCCAUCUUUUCAAGUAGUGAGGCCGGCGGUGGUGCACCUCCGGUGAGUACUUGAACAGGGGAAGUUAUUUGGAUGAGCUUGUGAGGUUUGGCCUCAAGAAGGAUGUUGAAAACGAUUGGUGCACAGCACAUGUGGGUGACUUUGUGGAGAGAAAUGUUGCGGUAUAUGUCGUGAGAGGUGGUGUUGCGUAGGCAGACGUUGGUUCCGCCGCGUGCAGCGAUUCCCCAAGUGAAGGUCCAGCCAUUGCAGUGGAACAUAGGGAGUGUCCAGAGAUACACAGGUUCACUUCCCAUUUCCCAGCCAAGAAUAAGGCUAAGGGUGCUAAGGUAGGCACCUCUAUGGCUAUACACAACUCCUUUUGGCUCUGAGGUUGUUCCAGAAGUAUAAUUCAAGGCUAUAGGAUCCCAUUCAUCUUGAAUGUCGUCAAGCACAUAAUUAGGAUGGCCC